rnacentral:tRNA from 2 species
GGAAAGGUGGCAGAGAGGUCGAAUGCGCCGGACUCGAAAUUCGGUAUGGGUUAAUAGCUCAUCGUGGGUUCAAAUCCCACCCUUUCCGCCA